AACGAACGCUGGCGGCAUGCCUAACACAUGCAAGUCGAACGAGACCUUCGGGUCUAGUGGCGCACGGGUGCGUAACGCGUGGGAACCUGCCCUUAGGUUCGGAAUAACUCCCCGAAAGGGGUGCUAAUACCGGAUAAUGUCUUCGGACCAAAGAUUUAUCGCCUUUGGAUGGGCCCGCGUUGGAUUAGCUAGUUGGUAGGGUAAAAGCCUACCAAGGCGACGAUCCAUAGCUGGUCUGAGAGGAUGAGCAGCCACACUGGGACUGAGACACGGCCCAGACUCCUACGGGAGGCAGCAGUGGGGAAUGUUGGACAGUGGGCUAAAGCCUGAUCCAGCACUGCCGCGUGAGUGAUGAAGUCCUUAGGGUUGUAAAGCGCUUUUACCCGGGAUGAUAAUGACAGUACCGGGAGAAUAAGCUCCGGCUAACUCCGUG
rnacentral:rRNA from 1 species